rnacentral:rRNA from 1 species
AAUAGAUACCCCGGUAGUCCACGCCGUAAACGAUGGCCACUCGGCCUUUGGGGGCGGAAUCUCCGCCCGUGGGGGCCUUAGCUAACGCGGGAAGUGGCCCGCCUGGGAACUACGAGCGCAAGCUUAAAACUCAAAGGAAUUGACGGGGGGCCCGCACAAGCAGCGGAGCGUGUGGUUUAAUUCGACGCAACGCGCAGAACCUUACCCAGGUUUGACAUGCACCAGACCGGGCUGGAAACAGUCCUUCCCCUUGUGGGUUGGUUUACAGGUGGUGCAUGGUUGUCGUCAGCUCGUGUCGUGAGAUGUUGGGUUAAGUCCCGCAACGAGCGCAACCCUCGUUCUAUGUUGCCAGCACGUGAUGGUGGGGACUCAUAGGAGACUGCCGGGGUCAACUCGGAGGAAGGUGGGGACGACGUCAAAUCAUCAUGCCCCUUAUGUCUUGGGCUUCACGCAUGCUACAAUGGCCGGUACAGGACGAGCCGAAACCGCGAGGUGGAGGAAAUCCCUAAAACUGGGCUCAAUUCGGAUCGCAGGCUGCAACUCGCCUG